GAUGAACGCUGGCGGCGUGCCUAAUACAUGCAAGUCGAGCGAACAGACGAGGAGCUUGCUCCUUUGACGUUAGCGGCGGACGGGUGAGUAACACGUGGGUAACCUACCUAUAAGACUGGGAUAACUUCGGGAAACCGGAGCUAAUACCGGAUAAUAUUUCGAACCGCAUGGUUCGAUAGUGAAAGAUGGCUUUGCUAUCACUUAUAGAUGGACCUGCGCCGUAUUAGCUAGUUGGUAAGGUAACGGCUUACCAAGGCAACGAUACGUAGCCGACCUGAGAGGGUGAUCGGCCACACUGGAACUGAGACACGGUCCAGACUCCUACGGGAGGCAGCAGUAGGGAAUCUUCCGCAAUGGGCGAAAGCCUGACGGGGCAACGCCGCGUGAGUGAUGAAGGUCUUCGGAUCGUAAAACUCUGUUAUUAGGGAAGAACAAACGUGUAAGUAACUGUGCACGUCUUGACGGUACCUAAGCAGAAAGCCACGGCUAACUACGU
rnacentral:rRNA from 1 species